GCUGGUAGUGACUCCCUCUCUCCCUUUACAGGAGAAAGUUGUGGUAAUGUCCUCAUUCAGUCCUCAGCGUGACCUUUUAGCAGACCUGGUUAGUACCCAAUCUCCAAACAAAGCUCACCUGAGGAAGAUCCAUCACUUCAAGGACUUCCUUGAUAAGAUAUUUAUACUUGAUCCAAGCAAGAGACUCAGCAUCAAUCAAGCACUCCAGCACCCAUUCAUCAUUGAGAAACUAGACUAGUAGUACAUCAAUGUACUGUGUACUGAUAAUGCUAAUAAUAAUAAUAAUAAUGAACUAAUAAUUGUGACUUUUUAAUUUUAGAGUAAUUCCUGGUCUCCUCUCUCUUCUCUCUUCUCUAACGAGGUUGUCUGUCCUUGUUCUAACAGAUUAGCUCCUUUUGCUAAACCUGCCUUCAUAAUGAAGACACUCUCUUCAUAUUAUAGUGCUGCCUCUGCUGCACUAUAUGCUCUGUAUUGAGCUGAGGUCAUCAGUUUAUGCACUGCCUCAAGUUGAGUAGCAGUGGUCCAGAAUUCUUAAGUCUACCAAAGGAAGACUGUCUCUUACAA